AGGUGAAUAUCUACAGGAGAUAAAAAACAGAAAGAGAAUUAAUACAUUUUCAUCUGAUCUCAGUUUUGAUUUAACUGAUUAAACAAUGGCCGUUGGACUGAUGAUAUCAAUUUUGUUGCUUCUUAUAGGCCAAGCCACAACGAUGGCCACAGCCCCAGCAACUAC